rnacentral:rRNA from 1 species
AUUGAACGCUGGCGGCAGGCCUAAUACAUGCAAGUCGAACGAGUGGCGGACGGGUGAGUAAUGUCUGGGAAACUGCCCGAAGGAGGGGGAUAACUACUGGAAACGGUAGCUAAUACCGCAUACCAUCGGAUGUGCCCAGAUGGGAUUAGCUAGGAGGUGGGGUAACGGCUCACCUAGUCGGCGAUCCCUAGCUGGUCUGAGAGGAUGACCCGCCACACUGGAACUGAGACACGGUCCAGACUCCGACGGGAGGCAGCAGUUGGGAAUAUUCCACAAUGGGCGAAAGCCUGAUGCAGCCAUGCCGCGUGUAUGAAGAAGGCCUUCGGAUUGUAAAGUGCUUUCAUCAGGGAGGCGUUACUCGCUGAGGAAGCACCGGCUAACUCCGUGCCAGCAGCCGCGGUAAUAC